CUGCAGUCGAGAAUCUUCCGCAAUGGGCGCAAGCCCUGACGGAGCGAUGCCGCGUGAGGGAUGACGGCCUUCGGGUUGUAAACCUCUGUCAGAGGGGACGAAGCAUGUGACGGUACCCUCAGAGGAAGCCACGGCUAACUACGUGCCAGCAGCCGCGGUAACACGUAGGUGGCGAGCGUUAUUCGGAUUUACUGGGCGUAAAGGGUCCGCAGGGGGUCUGUCAAGUCUGAUGUGAAACUCCGCAGCUCAACUGCGGACGUGCAUUGGAAACUGGCGGACUCGAGUACACGAUGGGAGAACGGAAUUCCUGGUGUAGCGGUGGAAUGCGUAGAUAUCAGGAAGAACACCGGCGGCGAAGGCGGUUCUCUGGCGUGUCACUGACCCUCAAGGACGAAAGCGUGGGUAGCGAACAGGAUUAGAUACCCUGGUAGUCCACGCCGUAAACGUUGUGCACUAGAUGUGGGGAGUACCUUAGGUCCUUUCCGUGUCCAAGUUAACGCGAUAAGUGCACCGCCUGGGGACUACGGCCGCAAGGCUAAAACUCAAAGGAAUUGACGGGGGCCCGCACAAGCGGUGGAGCAUGUGGCUUAAUUCGAGGCAACGCGAAGAACCUUACCCGGAUUUGACAUAUGUCUGCUCGUCCGUGAAAGCGGAUUUUCUCUUCGGAGACGGACAUACAGGUGCUGCAUGGCUGUCGUCAGCUCGUGCCGUGAGGUGUUCGGUUAAGUCCGGCAACGAGCGCAACCCGUGUCGUCAGUUGCCAUCAGGUAAUGCUGGGCACUCUGGCGAGACUGCCCGUGUCAAGCGGGAGGAAGGCGCGGACGACGUCAAGUCCGUAUGGCCCUUACAUCCGGGGCUGCACACGUGCUACAAUGGGCGGUACAGUGGGGAGCCACGUCGCGAGGCGCAGCGAAUCCCCAAAGCCGUCCUCAGUUCGGAUUGGAGUCUGCAAUUCGACUCCAUGAAGCUGGAAUCGCUAGUAAAGGCGCAUCAGCAACGGCGCCUUGAAUACGUUCCCGGGCCUUGUACACACCGCCCGUCACAUCAUGGAAGCCGGCUGCACC
rnacentral:rRNA from 1 species